rnacentral:lncRNA from 1 species
UGUAAGUAUAAGACUCUCUUUGCUUUGAAUGUGUUACCACUUUUGUUAUACAAACUGCUUUUGCAUUUAGCCUUAAAUUUAUAGCCGUGUUUGUCUCCAUAUAGUUUUUUGUUUUUUUUGGUUUUUUUUUUUGUUUUGUUUUGUUUUUUUUUUUUUUGAUUUUUCGAGACAGGGUUCCUCUUUGCAGCCCUGGCUGUCCUGGAACUCACUCUGUAGACCAGGCUGUCCUCGAACUCAGAAAUCUGCCUGCCUCUGCCUCCCAAGUGCUGGGAUUAAAGGUGUGCACCUCCACGCCCAGCUGUUUUUAAUAUUUUAAAAUCCAUUUUUAAAAUAAUAAAUGGUAUGGUCUAAAAUCUUGAUGGUAUAAAGCGUGAACAAUCAAAACCUCUUCUCACAAUCAUAGCCUCUCUUUCCCUUCCUCCCUCUGACAAACACUUGUUUGGGUUGUCCUUACACUUUUUAAAUAAGAUAAUCUGAAAAAUAAAAUGAACCAAUCUUAAUAUUUAUUUUUAUUUUAUGACUAUGUACUUUGCCUGUACAUGUCUGUGCACCAUGUGUAUGCAGUGCCCUCAGAGGCCAGAAGCGAGCAUCCCCUAGAAGUCCAGUUACAGGCAGCUGUGAGAUGCCAUGUGGAUAACUACGACUCAAACAUGGUCCAGCACUCUUAACCACUUACACCAUAUAGUUUAUACUCUUUCUGUUAGGCCCUGCUCAGUCUGGACUCUGAGCAGUUAAAGAGAAGGAUUGCUACUUAAGAUCAGCAUUCCUCAGAAAACUUGGAAACCUGGUAAAGUGGGUUUCUAAUUGUCAAGAAAAGUCUUUAUUUUCUUAUCUGCACCCCUCUCCCAGCAACCUAUCUCCAGAAAGGGCAUCUGAUUCCCUAUUAAACAAGCCUCCAACAGAUCAAAGCCCCAUGCUAGCUAGUUCCCAGGCUUAACUCACCUUCCUUUCACCAAAAGCUAAGUCCUUAUUACCAUGUUCUCUGUCUAUCACAGGGGAAAUCGUCACACAGCAGGUUCAUAUUUCCAAUAAGCAUUCCUUUGCACCCAUAGCCCUCUCAUUCAGUGGUCUCACUCACAUCUGCUGCAGAAACAUGGGAGGAGGCAUAGGGUCCCAUCCUAGAGGGGCUCUGUCCCUUGUAACCAAACUGAGUGUAUAUCAUUUGCAGCGUCUGGCUCCUGCUACCCACUAUAUUUGACUUUGGAGUCCACAUCUCCAGCCAUUUCUCUACCUACUCUACUUACUCCUCCCUCAACUGAAUGUCCUCCGAGAGCUUCCUACCCUGUCUGGAGCCUGCUAUAAAAGUCAUACCAGUAUGCCAGGCAAGCCUCCCUACACCAUCCUGUGCUCCCCAUCAAAGUGGACAAGGGACACCUGUCCACUGAUCCCUUGGGGAUGCCCUUAGAUUAAGACACUGUCCUAAUGCUCACCUGUUCCUUCUCUGCAUUUCAUCCCUCUGCUAUGGAAUCCUCCCCUUUACAGCCCCUUUCCCCGAGUCCUCCUCACUCUGCUCCUGGAAUUCUUUACUGCCACCCUUUAAGGAAAUCUCCCUUCCUGCUUGGCCUGUCUCCCUCUCUCUAGUUUGCCUGCAGGAGCCUGACCUGACCAUGGGUCCUAAUUACACAUGUCAGCUCCUCUCUCCUGCCUCCUCUAAUCUCUUUCCCACUGUGGACUCAGAGAUUCCAUUAAGCCUAGCUCACAUAUGGUGCUGAAAUGAUUCCCGGCCCCACCAAAAAAAAAAUUGCUUGAUAUGCUGAAGUUUCUUUUCAGCAGUUGGUAGACAGACAUUUGAUUUGUUUCAGUUUGGUGGACUUUUGUGACUAAACCUAAGAACAUUUACAUGCAGCUCUUUCUGUGACAUGCAUUCCUCCUUCUCUUGGGCAGAUGCCCAGGAGUGGGAUUGCUGGGUCCAUGUGAGUAGACAUGUAUGUGAAGCUGCCAAGUCACCUUUCCAAGGUUGCUGGACCAGUUCACACAGCCAUUAGCAAUGUGUGAGAGUUCCAGCUGACAGCUCUUUACCAAGUCUUGGUAUUGUCCAUCCUUUUCAUUUCAGCCUAACAUUGUGUUGUGCUCUUAAUUUGCACUUGUUUGAGGAGUAAAGAUGUUGAGCUUUUCAUGUGUUUAAUUUUCUAUUUUUAAAUACUUCACAUAAUUUUUAUUUAAUUUGUAUGAGUAUUUUCUUUUGUUAAAAGAAAUGAGAUUCUGAUCUAAGCAUUGUGGUGAAUGCCUUUAAUC